GACGAACGCUGGCGGCGUGCUUAACACAUGCAAGUCGAACGGAGUGGCGAACGGGUGAGUAUUACGUGAGUAACCUGCCCUCCACUGUGGGAUAAGCCUGGGAAACUGGGUCUAAUACUGCAUAGUUGGGGAUGGUCUCGCGGCCUAUCAGCUUGUUGGUGGGGUGAUGCCAUACCAAGGCGGUGACGGGUAGCAGGCCUGAUAGGGUGGUCGGCAACAUAGGGACUGGGAAACGGCCCAGAAUCCUACGUGAGGCAGCAGUGGGGGAUAUUGGACAAUGAGCGCAAGCCUAAUGCAGCGACGCCGCGUGAGGGAUGAAGGCUUUCUGGUUGUAAACCUCUUUCGGUACAGAACGGGUAUGUGCAGAAGAAGCGACGGCUAACUACGUGCCAGCAGCCGCGGUAAUUC
rnacentral:rRNA from 1 species